GAGCGUGUAGCUCAGCGGGAGAGCGCGUGCCUACCGUGCACAAGGUCCCAGGUUCGAUCCCCAGCCCGCCCC
rnacentral:tRNA from 1 species